AGGAUUCAUCAUUGUUGCAGUUUUACCAGUGUUUCUCAGAGUCACAAAUUAUGACUGGAAUGCAGUAUGUGGUCAACAGAUGGGCUGUUCACCUGCGGUCAGGAGAUCAGUGUAUUUAACUCUCAUGAUACUGGUCAAUGCUGUUAUGGUCUAUUUCUACAUCAUCGCUCUGGAAAAUGAAAAGGAUCGUGUUGGAUGGGCCUGUAUGACUGCGUUUCUUCAGUUACUCUGGACAGUGAUCAACUUCACAUGGUCAUUUGAGUCAUGGGGUACAGUAUGAAUCAUCUGAUCUGAUCAUCUUCACACUGUGAUGAUUUUCACUGUCAGCUCCAGUUUAUUCUCUUCACUCUAAACAGAUUCAGUCUCUACACUG